UGCCGGGAACCGCGACUCCGCAGCUCGAGUCGAAUCGGGUCGCGGAGAAGGCGCCAGUUUUUCAAAGCGCCACGCCUGAAACCGAAGUGGUCGCCGCGCGCGGGUCAAGUUCGCCCGCCAAUCGAAAUCGCGACGCAUCGACAAGUGCUUCGAAAGUGAUAGGUCAGUUCGCGCGUGUCCCUGUCGCCUCACCGCUAGGAUGUGUAACGUACGGCUAGAUUCAAUCGGAAGUAUUUGGGAAUUGUUCGCUUAUUGAAAUCAUGAUACGCGGAUUGCAAAAAAAAAAAAAAAAAAAAAAAAAAAAAAAACCCAUGUGUAGUGGUAACGCUUUGAGCGCGGGGAGACAGUGCGAAAGUUCAUCGUUCGCGCGGGAAAAUUUCCGAGAGUGAUUGAAACACCUGAGUUAAAAACGGAGCUCGUUGAAAAUGUUACAAUUUAGUGCUGGAAAAAUGAAAGGUUUCUAAGUUGAGCCGGUUUUACUGUUAACCGGGAUUCGUGCGAUAAGUUAUCCGAAAUUAUUUUAUGGAUGUCGUUGAUAAAAAUCGUAUUGAAUAAAGUGCCGGAAACAUGGUGUGCGAGAAUUACUCGUUCAAAGUUUCCAGUUUUGAAAGAAGAGAAGUGAAGGUUCGUGUGAAAGGAGUGCUACAAGAUUAGUGUAAGUGUGAAUCUUCUACAGCACCUUCAGUGAGGAAUUUGCAGCAAACAUGGAUUACAAUUCUGGGGAUACCUAGCUCGUUCAUAUUUCCUUUAGAAAUUUAAGUUUAGUUUUAAUUCCAUCACUAAAGACUAAAAUUUUGUUUUUAAAAGGAAAAAAACCAAUAAAUGGAAUCACGAUACAGAA